rnacentral:rRNA from 1 species
UACAGAGGGUGCGAGCGUUAAUCGGAAUUACUGGGCGUAAAGGGUGCGUAGGUAGUUUGUUAAGUUAGAUGUGAAAUCCCCGGGCUUAACCUGGGAAUGGCAUUUGAUACUGAUAGACUAGAGUCAGAAAGAGGGUAGAGGAAUUUCCGGUGUAGCGGUGAAAUGCGUAGAUAUCGGAAGGAACACCGGUGGCGAAGGCGUCUACCUGGUUCUAGACUGACACUGAGGCACGAAAGCGUGGGUAGCAAACAGG